UACGGAGGGGGCAAGCGUUGUUCGGAAUCACUGGGUGUAAAGGGUGCGUAGGCGGUCCGAUAAGUCUGAUGUGAAAACCCGAGGCUCAACCUCGGGCCUGCGGUGGGUACGGGCAGACUAGAGUGCGGUAGGGGAGAUUGGAAUUCCUGGUGUAGCGGUGGAAUGCGCAGAUAUCAGGAGGAACACCGAUGGCGAAGGCAGAUCUCUGGGCCGUAACUGACGCUGAGGAGCGAAAGCGUGGGGAGCGAACAGG
rnacentral:rRNA from 1 species